rnacentral:rRNA from 1 species
CCUACGGGUGGCAGCAGUGAGGAAUAUUGGUCAAUGGCCGAGAGGCUGAACCAGCCAAGUCGCGUGAGGGAAGACGGCCCUACGGGUUGUAAACCUCUUUUGUCGGGGAGCAAAGCGAGUCACGUGUGACUCAUUGAGAGUACCCGAAGAAAAAGCAUCGGCUAACUCCGUGCCAGCAGCCGCGGUAAUACGGAGGAUGCAAGCGUUAUCCGGAAUUACUGGGUGUAAAGGGAGCGUAGACGGUUAAGUAAGUCUGGAGUGAAAGGCCGGGGCCCAACCCCGGGACUGCUCUGGAAACUAUUGAACUUGAGUGCAGGAGAGGUAAGCGGAAUUCCUAGUGUAGCGGUGAAAUGCAUAGAUAUCACGCAGAACUCCGAUUGCGAAGGCAGCAUACCGGCGCUCAACUGACGCUGAGGCACGAAAGCGUGGGGAUCGAACAGGAUUAGAUACCCGAGUAGUC